UUUUCUUGUGAGGUGUGGAGAGAAAGUUAAUAAUUAAAUUUCCAACUUGCAAAAUGGUAAAAAUAACCUCGAAACAGCUAUUAGCUGUAAAUUGCUUCAGUGCAUUCUGCCUGGAUCUUCAGACAGCCUUUAACAGUGCAGUUGGAAGGUGUGAACAGACAUGAAAAAGCCCCUGUGUCCGUCUGAAGGAAGGGCCAGGUUUUGAAAUCACAUAGACUUCAGACUCAUCUCUGAAAUGUGAAGCUGGAAAACUGAUAAAAAUCUUUGGGUAGAUACAAGAGGUGAAUGCACAAAGGAGGCCAAACAGCACCCCAGCACAAACACCCCACACAUACUUUUUGGAUUAUCUUUGUCAAGCUAUGACAGAACUAUCCAAGGUUCAGCACAGGUGGGAGCAGCCUCCCCCCUCCUGGCUGAGGCAGGAGCUGCAAAAGGCUCUAUGAAUGACAUGUGAAAUGGCUGCAAAGAGCAAAGACAACAAGCCACAGCAAAAAAAUGUAACCAGCUGAUUUUUCAACGUUCAUCAAGCCAAACAGCCAAUACUUACCAAGACUCUGCUAGUCAGGUGAGUUGAAAUAAUCAGAUCUAAGUACUCUGAUCAGUUUCUUCUUUCUUUGAGAUCUUGUCUUGGAGAUCUUACCUCUUUCACCAUUAACAGCUUGAAACCCAAUGAUGAUCUGAGUCAAAAGCAUUCAACAAUAUGAACAUCUGUUGUCAGCUUUCCUUUACAACACAUAUCCUGUUCCAGCAAGUCCAACGUUUGGGUAUUUUUGGCCAUUCACAGAAAGGUUUUUAACUACCAUACCUAACUUCUACAGAACUCCGUGUUCUGAUUUUUUUUUAUUUGUUUGUUUGUUUUGUUUUUUCCUUUUUUUAAGUGAACACUCAGAUAUAAUUUGACUCAAAACCUUUGGAAAGUUUGAGUUGUAGAGAAGAAAGUCUUUGAGAUGUGCAUUUUUAUCUGAAAACAAAAAUACAUGACUUUUUUUUUUUUUUGUGGGUAGAUGUAAUCUACCAAUACUUUUAUGUAAACAACACAAACUUUGCUUAGCUUUUGAAUGUUUAGUUCCACCUACAUAUCUACUUUGUAAAAGUUAAUGAAGAAAAUACAUAAUCUUGCUUAUAUACCAACAUCAAUUCAUGAAAAUGCAUGCCUUUUAAAAAAAGCUAUUAAAUUCCACAGAAGAUGAAUAGAAAAAGUACUGGAUUUUUACUUUUAUAUAUUUAAAUGAGUUUAUGUCAUUUAUGUAAAAUUCUAAGUUACACAUGCAAGCCAACUCUUAUAUCCAUAAAUACAUACAAAUUUGUUCAAAUUUGCACAUCCUUAUCUUCUAGUAACUAAUUACUUUUUCCGUGAUUGGGAAAUUUUAGUGUCCUAAUUGCCUUACUGGAAAAUUAGGAACUGAAAUUAGUAUUACAAUGCACAAAGUAAAAAUUUAAGUUGAAAAAAAUCCCACCAUCCUCCAAAUGAGAGACAAUAUUUCUGCAGAUAGGACAGUAAUAUCCUAACAUAUCAGGAAAUCCACCAUUAAUCAGAAAAGAACAGUGAAAAAGAAGCAGAUAAGGAAUAUGUUUGAGCAUGCUAAGAUAGUAACUCUAGCAGCUAUAUAAGUAGCAGCUCUACAGGCUGCAAUCUCUCAUUCUUAUUUCUGUCUAGAAGUAGGACUUAUGAUGUAAUAGGAAAAAAUGCAGAAGCUAGAGGAGCCCCAGUUCCACACAAAAUAGGCAAUGAAGUCUUAUCUUUUUUCAUUAGGGAAAACAAAUUGUUUAUCCAAGUAAACAAUCAAUUGGUUAGGCACUGGAUUUGGAAGAAAAGGGAUGAAAACAGGAAGGUACCAGCAGUAAAUUUGUCCAACACUGGAAGUUCUGUAAUAGCAACAAUAAUAAAAAGAAUAAUAAUUCCAAAAAUUGCAUUUCAUAGUGGAGAAAUAAAUGAAAUCUGAUGUAAUGGACGAUAAGUAUUUCUGAAGAAUUAACCUAUCAUAGAGCUCUUCUGACAAAGCAAAAAUUAAGAUCACUAUGGACAUGGGCUACUGAAGAAAUCCUGUAGAAUCGUACUUUAUACUACAUGGAGACUGAAGUAAUCAUAUUGUUUUAUCACAGCAUUUCUUAUUCCUUCAGUUGAGUUAAGUCUGCAAAGAAUUAAAUCUCUAGAAUUUUAAUUCUGUUAAAGAGAUAUUAUUGUACAGAAAAUGUCUUCAGGUGUUUGUUCUAUCAGGCUGGAUUUGCUAUCCUUACUUUAAAAAAAAAAAAGGCUCUCUUGGUGAGAAACACUUCUUCAAAAAGAAGGAUUUAUCUUCAGCUUAAAAUUUGAAAUGCUAAAAUUCCUUAUACAGAAGACAAGAGGCAAGCCAUGAGAAAGGAAUGGAAAAAAAUGGCUUUGGACACAUUCUUCUCCAACUAUUUGUUUUUAUUAGGAAAAAUAAAGUUAAGUACUCUGUCAGAUAGCUAGUUAGAAUUAUUGAUUACAUUGAAGCUUUGUAGUAGAAAUCUGAAGAAAUAAAAAACAUUUUGAAAGCUGCAAUUGUAAGCAUAUAUUUUUUUCAGUGAGCCAUGAGGAGGUAAACAGAAAGGAUUUUAUUUUAACAGCAAACAGUAGAAUAUGCUUUAGGUUAUCAAAACAAACAAACAAACAAACAAAAACAAAUUAUAGCACACAAGUUUUAAUUGGUAAAAACUAUGAUUAGACUGUGGCCGAUUCUGAUAUGGGCUUGGCUGGUCAGACACCAGCAGCAAAAUUCUUGGAGAACUGAAUAUUCACAAUAUGAAUGAGAGGGAACGCAGGAGUGCUACUUUUUGCAGUCUACCAAUUUUAAACACCAGAAAUUACGGUGUGUGAAGACACCUGGGAAGAUGAGUAGUGAGCUGAAGAGUUUGGCAGUACACACACACUAAUUUUUUUAUCUACGUGUGUAUAUAUAGUAAAAAAAAGUGUAAAAGCACGGACCUAGGUCGCUGCAUUUCCAGUGACUCAGGAGAGGAAACAAGGUAAAUAUGAAAUGAGAAGACAAUUUCUCCAGCUAUAAUUCUGUACUCUGAUGUCAGAUUUUCAUUGCAAAUAGAUGAGUGGUGAUAUGGUCAAGGCAGUUUGAAAAGGCAAAGGCUUUCUCUUUCAAAAUAAAUGGAAUAAAGCUGCAGUGAUUAUCUUCACCACAUCACUACAAUACAAUGAGGGUGAAUUCAUUUUUCUGCUUCAUGGCCAUUUCCUUCCUAGGAAGCCGAAUUCUACAUCUCCUGUGCACGGCACAGCUUAAGGGUAGUGAAAGAUAGGUUAAGAAAUGGGGAGUACUUAUAUUAUAUUACUCCAGCAAUAUAUAUUAUAUCAACCUUACUGUAUAUGUAAUGUUCACUAUAGAAGCAUAAUCAAUGGCUGAAGCUGAAAUUAUUUGUCAGCAGCUCAUACCCUCCCAGGAGCCAUGAAUUUGGGUAUAGGUGAAAAUCAAUCCCUAUGUCUUUUGUAUUCAAUUACAGGAAUGAAUAACUAUUCUCGAACUGAGGGUUAAUCCCCUCCAGGACUGGGGCUCAUAUUUUACUCCUGGAGAGAGGUUUGUCUUUGGAGCACUAAUUGAUCACAUAAGGAUCUUGCUGAUAUAACCUAUGGUUGGUCCGUGCACAAAAAACAUUUAAUUUUCAGAUAUGUCAUUGAAUUUCAGUAUGGUUUUGAAUAAGUUUUUUAUGAGCUUCAUCAAUGAAAUGUUCGAUCAUCUGAAAUGGGAAACAGUAAAUGAUCAUUCAGCAAAUUUGGAAGAAGGAUGAAGUUACUCAGAUAGACAAUAUCAGACAUUAUUUUGUUCCAUUCAAUCAUGAUAGGAGGUGUUAUAAAAUAGUUAUUUCAAUAUCUUACAGCUAUUUUGAAAGAAAUAUUCUGUAAAAUUUUAAAAAUACAUUUACUUACCAAGUACCACCACCUAAUAAGUUAAUACCAAAUGAUGCAUAUUUCCCUAAAAAAAAAGAGAAAUUCAAUCUGGCCAACAAAAUUCAGGGAGAAAUGGUUUAUAUCCACAGAAAUCUGAAGGUAUAUUUAACUUCGUAAUUUCUGUAGCAAGCAAAGUUUUCCAUAGCUUUAAAGAAGGUGCGAACAAGUAAGUUUGACUGUCACUGAGUUGCAGUAGGAUUUACACAUCCAAGAUAACAAGGAUCUCAUCCAAGAAGAAUCUUGAAGCUUUUUGAUGGUUUUAAAUUUACUGUUUUUCAGUGGUUCCUUGUUUAAUA
ensembl:lncRNA